rnacentral:rRNA from 1 species
AACGUAGGACGCAAGCGUUAUCCGGAGUUACUGGGCGUAAAGGGCAGGCAGGCGGGCUGAUAAGUCGGAUGUGAAAUCUCCCUGGCUUAACCGGGAGGGUGCAUUUGAGACUGUCAGCCUGGAGGGCAGCAGAGGAGCGUGGAAUUCCGGGUGGAGUGGUGAAAUGCGUAGAGAUCCGGAGGAACACCAGAGGCGAAAGCGGCGCUCUGGGCUGCACCUGACGCUGAACUGCGAAAGCCAGGGGAGCGAACGGG